CAGUACUCCUAUCGGUCUCACAAUAUAAGAAUGUUUUUAACACUACACUUACUAGGCAGUAGCUCAUGGAUAGCUAAAGGACAAUACUCCAUGACAAUUGUUCAUGGAUCCUCACUUCUCCUGUUUGUUUCUAGCCGGUAUGUCUUUGCUUCCCGUAGGCUCCACCCAUUGGCCAGCAGCCGGGUCGCCUCCACCAGAUUUUGGUUGUCUAACACGACACAAUACCCACUGUGCUCCGCUUCCCCUGAAGAUAGCGGGAACCGAGCUGCGUGGGUAUUUGAACCUGCAUAAGAAUUCUAUGAGAGAAAAGCGAUCGUUCAGGAAAUACGAGCAUUUGAAUCUUCAUUAGAAUUGUAGUAGAAGAGAAGAGAAGAGAUCAACCAUGUGUUCUCUGAUGACGUGACCACAUUCCAAAUCAAAGCUUGAGAAUGAACAUAUUCCAUUUUUCGGGCUUCAACAUUUAAUUACGUUGAAUUUCGAGAACAUUGGUGGUAAUGGAUAUACCCCUGCAUGCAUAAAAGCUCGUUAGUGAUGCAAUGAUGUUAUCUUAGUCUAUCACCUUUGGGCAUAAGUUGGAGAAGGUCAAAUGUUCCAAGUUGAUUUUAAGUGCUAAGGACCAAUUCAUGGGGUGAAAGAUUAAUUUCCUGAAAUACUAGUUAGCUACUCUAUCUUGGUGAGAGCACAAUACAGAAUGAUUAGAAUUGCUAACUGGGAUCGGUGCUGCCGCCCACUAUUUGCUCUCCAACCGCUGUUGUUCGGUCAAUGGUCUGUCAUGAAUGAUUAGAUGUCUCGACCAGUUACAGAUGUGCACACUAUUUUGCAACAAAAAUUUAUAGUCUGAUUUGGUCCAUCAGAAGUCACAAAAAGGAUGAAAUGCAGUGUUGAGUUCCAAUACUCUUAGGUUCUCGCAUGUUUAUGCCCAAACUCACAACAAGAAACCAUUCUCGAAGGCGCUCAUGCGUCCUUGUCAAGCAGCCUGAACACGUGCACCAUGUUGCUCUACUUUCCUACCGACAUCACAAUAUCCAGGUUGCUUAACACGGCACAAUUCGACCCAGCUGGACUCCUCCCAUCCGAAGUACACCGGGUGAUUGAAUGUUCAUUUCAAGUGUUGAGAACAACUUCAACUAUUUUUCAGUUGUG
rnacentral:lncRNA from 1 species